UUGAACGCUGGCGGCAGGCCUAACACAUGCAAGUCGAGCGGUAACACAGAGAGCUUGCUCUCGGGUGACGAGCGGCGGACGGGUGAGUAAUGUCUGGGAAACUGCCUGAUGGAGGGGGAUAACUACUGGAAACGGUAGCUAAUACCGCAUAACGUCGCAAGACCAAAGUGGGGGACCUUCGGGCCUCAUGCCAUCAGAUGUGCCCAGAUGGGAUUAGCUAGUAGGUGGGGUAACGGCUCACCUAGGCGACGAUCCCUAGCUGGUCUGAGAGGAUGACCAGCCACACUGGAACUGAGACACGGUCCAGACUCCUACGGGAGGCAGCAGUGGGGAAUAUUGCACAAUGGGCGCAAGCCUGAUGCAGCCAUGCCGCGUGUGUGAAGAAGGCCUUCGGGUUGUAAAGCACUUUCAGCGGGGAGGAAGGCGGUGAGGUUAAUAACCUCAUCGAUUGACGUUACCCGCAGAAGAAGCACCGGCUAACUCCGUGCCAGCAGCCGCGGUAAUACGGAGGGUGCAAGCGUUAAUCGGAAUUACUGGGCGUAAAGCGCACGCAGGCGGUCUGUCAAGUCGGAUGUGAAAUCCCCGGGCUCAACCUGGGAACUGCAUUCGAAACUGGCAGGCUAGAGUCUUGUAGAGGGGGGUAGAAUUCCAGGUGUAGCGGUGAAAUGCGUAGAGAUCUGGAGGAAUACCGGUGGCGAAGGCGGCCCCCUGGACAAAGACUGACGCUCAGGUGCGAAAGCGUGGGGAGCAAACAGGAUUAGAUACCCUGGUAGUCCACGCCGUAAACGAUGUCGAUUUGGAGGUUGUGCCCUUGAGGCGUGGCUUCCGGAGCUAACGCGUUAAAUCGACCGCCUGGGGAGUACGGCCGCAAGGUUAAAACUCAAAUGAAUUGACGGGGGCCCGCACAAGCGGUGGAGCAUGUGGUUUAAUUCGAUGCAACGCGAAGAACCUUACCUGGUCUUGACAUCCACAGAACUUUCCAGAGAUGGAUUGGUGCCUUCGGGAACUGUGAGACAGGUGCUGCAUGGCUGUCGUCAGCUCGUGUUGUGAAAUGUUGGGUUAAGUCCCGCAACGAGCGCAACCCUUAUCCUUUGUUGCCAGCGGUUAGGCCGGGAACUCAAAGGAGACUGCCAGUGAUAAACUGGAGGAAGGUGGGGAUGACGUCAAGUCAUCAUGGCCCUUACGACCAGGGCUACACACGUGCUACAAUGGCGCAUACAAAGAGAAGCGACCUCGCGAGAGCAAGCGGACCUCAUAAAGUAUGUCGUAGUCCGGAUUGGAGUCUGCAACUCGACUCCAUGAAGUCGGAAUCGCUAGUAAUCGUAGAUCAGAAUGCUACGGUGAAUACGUUCCCGGGCCUUGUACACACCGCCCGUCACACCAUGGGAGUGGGUUGCAAAAGAAGUAGGUAGCUUAACCUUCGGGAGGGCGCUUACCACUUUGUGAUUCAUGACUGGGGUG
rnacentral:rRNA from 1 species